GGGUGGGUGAGUGUUCCCGGUAAUUUGGAUUUGGGAAUGAGGAUAAAAGUCAUACUUUUAGAGUUAGAAAGUGUACAGUUAUUAUGCGAAAAAAGGCGGGUGGUGGUUUUGAGUUUCAAAUUCUACUAUAGGUAUCAUAGAAAUAUAGUUUUGACGCCACUGAUAGGUAAGUAGGUAGGUGAACUGAAAAAACAUUAGUUAAGGUAGGUAAAUAAUGAUAGUAAAAAUAUUAUUUGCAUUGGGUCAGAUGUGUUUUAGUGACACACACACACUCAAGCACUGUGUGUACACAGUUUUUA